CCUAGCCUCAUAGACUGGGACGAACUAUUGGAAACGAUAGCUAAUACCGGAUAACAGCAUUAACUGCAUGGUUGAUGUUUAAAAGUUGGUUUUUGCUAACACUAUGAGAUGGCUUUGCGGUGCAUUAGCUAGUUGGUGGGGUAAAGGCCUACCAAGGCGACGAUGCAUAGCCGACCUGAGAGGGUGAUCGGCCACACUGGGACUGAGACACGGCCCAAACUCCUACGGGAGGCAGAGGC
rnacentral:rRNA from 1 species